UACAGGGGGGGCAAGCGUUGUUCGGAAUUACUGGGCGUAAAGGGUUCGUAGGUGGCCACUUAAGUCAGACGUGAAAUCCCUCAGCUUAACUGGGGAACUGCGUCUGAUACUGGAUGGCUUGAGUGCAGGAGAGGAAUGCGGAAUUCCAGGUGUAGCGGUGAAAUGCGUAGAUAUCUGGAGGAACAUCGGUGGCGAAGGCGGCAUCCUGGACCGGUAUUGACGCUGAGGCGCGAAAGCCAGGGGAGCAAACGGG
rnacentral:rRNA from 1 species